CGUCUCCUGUGAUGUUUUGCACUGGGCUCAGAAGUCAGUGGUGACAGAAGUGCAGCUCUGCACCUGACAAGGCAGAGUCUGAGGAGAUG
rnacentral:snoRNA from 1 species